CUUGAUUUAAAAAAAUUUUUAUACUAAGUUUAUAAUGGUAAUUAAAAAUUAACUAAGU
rnacentral:tRNA from 1 species